UUUGUAUCCCCUCUGUCCUGAAAUACUUGUUCGAGAAAUGGAUAAAAAUGGAUGUAUCUAAAACUAAAAUACAUCUAAGAUACAUCCAUUUCUUCGACAUGUAUUUCUGGACGGAGGGAGCACUUC
rfam:Hordeum vulgare subsp. vulgare, WGS project CAJW01000000 data, contig: morex_contig_45014